rnacentral:rRNA from 1 species
CCUACGGGCGGCAGCAGUGGGGAAUAUUGGACAAUGGGGGCAACCCUGAUCCAGCCAUGCCGCGUGUGAAGAAGGCCCUCGGGUUGUAAAGCACUUUCAGUGAGGAAGAACGCCUGGUGGUUAAUACCCAUCAGGAAAGACAUCACUCACAGAAGAAGCACCGGCUAACUCCGUGCCAGCAGCCGCGGUAAUACGGAGGGUGCGAGCGUUAAUCGGAAUUACUGGGCGUAAAGCGCGCGUAGGUGGCUUGAUAAGCCGGUUGUGAAAGCCCCGGGCUCAACCUGGGAACGGCAUCCGGAACUGUCAAGCUAGAGUGCAGGAGAGGAAGGUAGAAUUCCCGGUGUAGCGGUGAAAUGCGUAGAGAUCGGGAGGAAUACCAGUGGCGAAGGCGGCCUUCUGGACUGACACUGACACUGAGGUGCGAAAGCGUGGGUAGCAAACAGGAUUAGAUACCCGGGUAGUC